rnacentral:misc_RNA from 1 species
CAGAGUUCAUGCCCUUACGGGUAGAUCUCCCACCCUUGAAUACUAUACCUUUGUUGCUUUGGCGGGCCGCUUCGGCUACCGGCUUCGGCUGGUAAGUGCCCGCCAGAGGACCCUAAACUCUGAAUGUUAAUGUCGUCUGAGUACUAUAUAAUAAGUUA